rnacentral:piRNA from 1 species
UGAGCACAUGAACCAAGAGACUGCUGCUACU